rnacentral:rRNA from 1 species
CAGAAGGGGCAGGGGAGGAAGGAGGAGGAAAAAGAAAAAAAAAAAAAAAAAUAUUUUUGGUGUAUACCAGACCACCACUGGAAUGAGUGGUAUGCCAAACGCUCCGGCGCCGAAGGAUGUGGCUGCGGCCGAUUAGGUAGACGGUGGGGUAACGGCCCACCGUGCCGAUAAUCGGUAUGGGUCAUGAGAGUGAGAACCCAGAGACGGAAUCUGAGACAAGAUUCCGGGCCCUACGGGGCGCAGCAGGCGCGAAACCUUUACACUGCACGACAGUGCGAUAGGGGGAUCCCAAGUGCACAGGCAUAGCGCCUGUGCUUUUCGGUACCCUAAGGCGGUACCAGAAUAAGGGCUGGGCAAGACCGGUGCCAGCCGCCGCGGUAAUACCGGCAGCCCAAGUGAUGGCCGAUCUUAUUGGGCCUAAAGCGUCCGUAGCUGGCCGCGCAAGUCCAUCGGGAAAUCCACCUGCUCAACAGGUGGGCGCCCGGUAGAAACUGCGUGGCUUGGGACCGGAAGGCGCGACGGGUACGUCCGGGGUAGGAGUGAAAUCCCGUAAUCCUGGACGGACCGCCGAUGGCGAAAGCACGUCGCGAGAACGGAUCCCACAGUGAGGGACGAAAGCCAGGGUCUCGAACCGGAUUAGAACCCGGGUACUCCUGGCCGUAAACAAUGUCUGCUAGGUGUGGCUCCCACUACGAGUGGGUGCUGUGCCGUAGGGAAGCCGCUAAGCAGACCGCCUGGGAAGUACGUCCGCAAGGAUGAAACUUAAAGGAAUUGGCGGGGGAGCACUACAACCGGAGGAGCCUGCGGUUUAAUUGGACUCAACGCCGGACAUCUCACCAGCAUCGACUGUAGUAAUGACGAUCAGGUUGAUGACCUUAUCCGAGCUUCAGAGAGGAGGUGCAUGGCCGCCGUCAGCUCGUACCGUGAGGCGUCCUGUUAAGUCAGGCAACGAGCGAGACCCGCACCCUUACUUGCCAGCAGUACCGCGAGGUAGCUGGGGACAGUAGGGGGACCGCCGUGGCUAACACGGAGGAAGGAACGGGCAACGGUAGGUCAGUAUGCCCCGAAUGUGCUGGGCAACACGCGGGCUACAAUGGUCGAGACAAAGGGUUCCAACUCCGAAAGGAGACGGUAAUCUCAGAAACUCGAUCGUAGUUCGGAUUGUGGGCUGCAACUCGCCCACAUGAAGCUGGAUUCGGUAGUAAUCGCGUGUCACAAGCGCGCGGUGAAUACGUCCCU